UACGGAGGGUGCAAGCGUUAUCCGGAUUUACUGGGUUUAAAGGGUGCGUAGGCGGUCCUUUAAGUCAGUGGUGAAAUCUUCCCGCUUAACGGGAAAACUGCCAUUGAUACUAUUGGUCUUGAAUACAGUUGAGGUGGGCGGAAUGUGUCGUGUAGCGGUGAAAUGCUUAGAUAUGACACAGAACACCGAUUGCGAAGGCAGCUCGCUAAACUGUGAUUGACGCUGAGGCACGAAAGCGUGGGGAUCAAACAGG
rnacentral:rRNA from 1 species